rnacentral:rRNA from 1 species
CACCUACGGGUGGCAGCAGUGGGGAAUUUUGGACAAUGGGCGCAAGCCUGAUCCAGCCAUGCCGCGUGCAGGAUGAAGGCCUUCGGGUUGUAAACUGCUUUUGUACGGAACGAAAAGGUUUCUUUUAAUACAGGGAACUGAUGACGGUACCGUAAGAAUAAGCACCGGCUAACUACGUGCCAGCAGCCGCGGUAAUACGUAGGGUGCGAGCGUUAAUCGGAAUUACUGGGCGUAAAGCGUGCGCAGGCGGUGAUGUAAGACAGAGGUGAAAUCCCCGGGCUCAACCUGGGAACUGCCUUUGUGACUGCAUCGCUGGAGUGCGGCAGAGGGGGAUGGAAUUCCGCGUGUAGCAGUGAAAUGCGUAGAUAUGCGGAGGAACACCGAUGGCGAAGGCAAUCCCCUGGGCCUGCACUGACGCUCAUGCACGAAAGCGUGGGGAGCAAACAGGAUUAGAUACCCUGGUAGUCCACGCCCUAAACGAUGUCAACUGGUUGUUGGGAAUUAGUUUUCUCAGUAACGAAGCUAACGCGUGAAGUGACCGC